rnacentral:rRNA from 1 species
GUUUUUCGCUCUAAGAUGAGCCCGCGUAAGAUUAGCUAGUUGGUGAGGUAACGGCUCACCAAGGCAACGAUCUUUAGCUGGUCUGAGAGGAUGAUCAGCCACACUGGAACUGAGACACGGUCCAGACUCCUACGGGAGGCAGCAGUAGGGAAUAUUGCACAAUGGAGGAAACUCUGAUGCAGCGGCGCCGCGUGAGUGAUGAAGGCCUUCGGGUUGUAAAGCUCUGUCGCAUGGGAAUAAGAAAGUG